UGAUAAAUCGUUAAUGAAGUGAAAUAUUAAAAGAGAGAAAUGAUGCAAUUAUUGUUGAUACGAGACAAUGGAACGUACGAUGAAUGUGACAGUGGAGCCUAUACUUAUAGUAGUCGCAUGCGUGAUUUGAAAAAAAAAAAAAAAAAAAAAGAAAAAAAGAAAAAUCGUUGAUCUCGGCAACGGUGAAUGCCUUUACUGCCAUCAUCCAUUAAACCAACCAACAACAACCAUUACCUCAGUCGACGGCGAAUAUCGAGGGAACAGAAUUAUGGAGAAAAAAAAAAAUAGACGCGUUUCAUCGACGCAUUCGACACACGAAAGUUCAGAUGUCAAUUUUUAUGCGAAUCAUUUUCGAUAGUCGGUGCUUUGAGAGAAUUCUUUAAAAAGUUGUCUAUUAAAUUCAUUCUUUUUAAUCAUUUCUACGAAUUUAUCAAAAGAUUAGAAUUAAUCAUAUAUUAUAUACAGGGUGUUUCAACUAAUUUAUUUCUAUUUCGAGUACGUAAAAAUGUUCGUACAAAUAAUAUUGACCAUCAGUUUGAAAUUUUGAAAGAAAUGUUAUCUUUUUUAUUUUUUGUUUUUAUUUAUUGUUCUCUUUCUCUUAUAUUAUUUUUUCAAAAUUCAUGGGACCCGCGCAUAUUUCAUAGCGCUUUUACGAAGGUCGAUAGCCUUAUCUCUGGCGUGUACCGGCGUCUUGUUCUUCCAGUACAUACUUAUACGUAUGUAAUACGUGUAAAUAUACUCACAUAUAUCGCAUAUGUAUAUUUAUAUUUGUAUAUUUUAUCCAUGUACAUUGAUUCGUAUAAUGUACAAGUAUAAAUAUGCAUAUAUAUUAUAAUGGAUGUACGAUUACUAUUGUUGGCCAGUGUGCCAAGAAUGCGUUGAAACCGUAAGUCAGUGUAUUUAGAUUUUACGAGAGAAAACCAAGUGGAGUUCUAUGAGAUUUUCCAAAGGUGGCAAUGAUCAUUAGAACAUUGUUACGAUUAAAACGAUGAUCGUCUGGACUUUAAUCGUUUAUUCGUGUAUUUCCUCCUCACGAAUGAAUAAUGCAAUGAGGUUUCGAUCAUAUAUUUUAACAAGAAUCUUAGGACAUGAGAUAUUCGAUCUCGAUGCUUGCAAAUAUUGUGCCCGAAUCGAUACAUUUACUUUGUACAAACUAAUAGAGUUUAAUAUUUAAUUAUUUAUUUAUUUAUUUAUUUAUUUAUUUAUUUAUUUAUUUAUUUAUUAUAAGGAUUACAUUGAUUGUAACAAAUUAAUUUUUUUCCCAAGACAUAAAAUCUCAUAGAUUUUUAUUAUUUCUCUGACGAUUUAUUGUAAAGAAGAAUGAUUGAUGGACAUGACUCUAGAAACCUUCACUCUAGAAUCUCUCGUAUCUUUGUCUCUCCUCUCUUACCUUCCUUUGCUCCAAAAAUUUGUAUAUAUAUACACACACACCACACACAUACACAUAUUUCAAUUCCGUUUUGGUGUGAUAUGGUACAUAUCGUUGUUAAUGAGAUGAAAAGAAAAAAGAAAACUUUGUUGAAUUUGCUACCUGUCUAAGUAUAAAAAAGAGAGAGAGAAAGAGAUAUAGAGACUAGAGAACACACCAACGUGGCCUUGACACGUUUCAUUUCUUUCCCUUUUUCUAAGAAAAACAAAUUGAAAACAAAAUUGAAAAAAAAACGCUUUACGUAGUAAAAUUAUUGUCGACUCAAAUUCAAUUAAAGUAAUUUAGAUUGAUCGACGAGUAUUCAGAAGUGAGACAGUUGAUUAAUUAGCAUUGCAUAUAAUUAUGCAAUGAAUUCUUUAACAUGGGAAAACCAAUAGGAUCAUCGUUGAUGCUACUUUCUCUUUUUCUACGAUUAGUACUUUACUGAGUACUAAUUUUUUUCUUUUUCUUUUCUUUUUAUUUUUUUGUUCUUUCUCUCUUUUUAAUGAAACGAACGAAGGCAAUAAGAAACUAGCUAGUUAAUGUCGACUCGACGUGUACUUUUUUACAACUUCUUAUUCACUAAUUCUCUCAUAUCGUACAAACUUUAACAAAUAAAAAAGAAAAGAGACCAAAUCGAAAGAAAAGUAAAAUUUGUAUUGUUCUCUUAUUAGAGAUUAUUAUUAGGACAAAUUCGAGUUACGAAAGAAGAAUGAAAGAGAGACAAAGAGGGAGGGAGGGAGAGAGGACGUCACUCGCGUUACGUGUCAAAAUCAAAAAUUAUUCGUGCGGGAGAAAAAAGCGGCAAUAAGAUAAAUAACAAAAAUGCGCAGUCUUCCAAGAUCGUCGCGUUUAGGAAAGCAGAGGAAAUAAAAAGAAUGAAAUAAAAUAAAAUAAAAUAAAAUAAAAUAAAAUAAAAUACUUGAAUCGGGAAUCGAAACUCGCGUUGACCCUAUAACAUUAUUACAUAGUCAAGUUAUGUAAAUAUACGUGUAUGUUAUGUGUGUGUGUGUGGGUGUAUAUAUAUAUAUAUAUAUAUAUAUAUAUAUAUAUAUAUAUAUAUAUCACACUGACACACGUGUAGUAUAUAUUUCUUUUGUAAAUAGUUUCCUCUUAAGCGAGCUAAGCCUUAUUCUAACCGGACGAAGAUACUCUCGGUGAGAGUAAUUACAAGAGUUAAUCGAUGAAAUUUCAUUAACGAUACGAUAUCGAAUCUAAACCGUGCGAGAAUGAUCGUCAAUUUUCCCGUAUAUAAUGAUAUAACGUAUAAAUUUGUUUGUAUUCUUUUUUCAAAUUUUACUCACACAUGCGUAUGAUGACGCUAUACGUGUCUGGACAGCAAGUUAACAAUUAGAAAAUCAUUUAGAGAAGAAAAUACGUCACGGUUUUGAUCGUCGAUAUCGACUUAUUUCUCUAGAGAGAUUUAGAAAUUAGAUUUAGAUCUUAGAAUCCCACUCUCGCAAAAUUUCGUCGUUUGUGCGAAUAUUAACUAUUCGAUAUUAGAUAAGAUAAGGAAGAAAAAGUAAUCGUUGUUUGUAUCAAGAGACAUUGUGAAAUUUAGUCCUAUCGACGAAAAAUUGCAGAACCCGGAACACACUUCCUUGUAAUUUAGUAUAUGUAGCAGGUAGAAAGUUAUCUUAAAUAGAAAAGAAAAAAAAAAGGAA